rnacentral:rRNA from 1 species
AGAGUUUGAUCCUGGCUCAGGACGAACGCUGGCGGUGUGCUUCACACAUGCAAGUCGAACGAGGUAGCAAUACCUAGUGGCGGACGGGUGAGUAACGCGUGGGAAUCUGCCCUUGGGUAGGGGAUAGCAGGCCGAAAGGCCUAUUAAUACCGUAUAUGCCGUGAGGUAAAAGGAGUAAUCCGCCCGAGGAUGAGCCUGCGUCCGAUUAGCUAGUUGGUGGGGUAAAAGCCUACCAAGGCUACGAUCGGUAGCUGGUCUGAGAGGAUGAUCAGCCACAAUGGGACUGAGACACGGCCCAUACUCCUACGGGAGGCAGCAGUGGGGAAUUUUACGCAAUGGGGGAAACCCUGACGUAGCGACACCGCGUGAGCGAAGAAGCCUUUUGGGGUGUAAAGCUCUGUCAGCAGGAACGAAUAAACGACGGUACCUGCAGAGGAAGCAUCGGCUAACUACGUGCCAGCAGCCGCGGUAAGACGUAGGAUGCGAGCGUUGUCCGGAUUCAUUGGGCGUAAAGAGUUCGUAGGCGGUUUGUUAAGUCUGAUGUUAAAGAUCAGGGCCCAACCCUGGGAGUGCAUUGGAUACUGGCAGACUUGAGUACAGUAGAGGCGAGUGGAAUUCCCAGUGUAGCGGUGAAAUGCGUAGA